rnacentral:rRNA from 1 species
GGGCCCGCACAAGCGGUGGAGCAUGUGGUUUAAUUCGAUGCAACGCGAAAAACCUUACCAGGCCUUGACAUCCAGAGAACUUACCAGAGAUGGUUCGGUGCCUUCGGGAACUCUGUGACAGGUGUUGCAUGGCUGUCGUCAGCUCGUGUCGUGAGAUGUUGGUUAAGUCCCGUAACGAGCGCAACCCUUAUCCUUACUUGCCAGCACGUAAUGGUGGGAACUUUAAGGAGACUGCCGGUGACAAACCGGAGGAAGGAGAGGAUGAUGUCAAGUCAUCAUGGCCCUUACGGCCUGGGCUACACACGUGCUACAAUGGGAAGUACAAAGGGUCGCAAUACCGCGAGGUGGAG